AUUAGCUGGGGCGGCGAGUCCGACUCAUCAAUAUUUUAAGGAAUGACCCGGCCUUGGGGUCCGGAAUUGCUGCGCGGGCGGGGGC
rnacentral:miRNA from 2 species